GCUUUGCCUGCCAUCUCUUACCCAUGUCUUUUGAGUACCUUCGUUUCCUCGGCGGGUCCGCCCGCCGGUUGGACAACACUUAAACCCUUUGUAGUUGCAAUCAGCGUCUGAAUAAACUUAAUAGUUACAACUUUCAACAACGGAUCUCUUGGUUCUGGCAUCGAUGAAGAACGCAGCGAAAUGCGAUAAGUAGUGUGAAUUGCAGAAUUCAGUGAAUCAUCGAAUCUUUGAACGCACAUUGCGCCCCUUGGUAUUCCAUGGGGCAUGCCUGUUCGAGCGUCAUUUGUACCUUCAAGCCUUGCUUGGUGUUGGGUGUUUGUCUCGCCUCUGCGCGCAGACUCGCCUCAAAACAAUUGGCAGCCGGCGUAUUGAUUUCGGAGCGCAGUACAUCUCGCGCUUUGCACUCAUAACGACGACGUCCAAAAAGUACAUUUUUACACUCUUGA
rnacentral:rRNA from 1 species